GCCCCUGUGGUGGAAUGGCAGACACGCCGCGCUCAAAACGCGGUGACCGCAAGGUCGUGAGGGUUCGAAUCCCUCCGGGGGCA
rnacentral:tRNA from 1 species